AGUCUGGUGCCAGCAGCCGCGGUAAUUCCAGCUCUAAUAGCGUAUAUUAAAGUUGUUGCAGUUAAAAAGCUCGUAGUUGGAUUUCGGCGUGCGCUCAGGCUGGUCGGCCGUCAUGGUCUGUACCGUUUGGGUCACGCCCCACUGUAGGAUACUCACCGCUGUCCUUAACUGGGUGGCGGUCAAAGGUUGUAGUACUUUUUUUCCUGGGGGCAACUCUGGGAGGGGAUAUAACGACUGGGGUUCCUACUCUUUUACUUUGAGCAAAUUAGAGUGUUCAAAGCAGGCAAUCGAGCCUUGAAUACUUCAGCAUGGGAUAAUGGAACAGGACUGGGAUCCUGAUUUCGUUGGUUUCUAGGGUCUUAGUAAUGAUUAAUAGGGAUAGUUGGGGGCAUUAGUAUUUAAUUGUCAGAGGUGAAAUUCUUGGAUUUAUGAAAGACUAACUUCUGCGAAAGCAUUUGCCAAGGAUGUUUUCAUUAAUCAAGAACGAAAGUUAGGGGAUCGAAGACGAUCAGAUACCGUCGUAGUCUUAACCAUAAACGAUGCCGACCAGCGAUUGGGAGACGUUAUAUAUAUGACUCCCCCAGCAGCUUGCGAGAAAUCACAAGUCUUUGGGUUCCGGGGGGAGUAUGGUCGCAAGGCUGAAACUUAAAGGAAUUGACGGAAGGGCACCACCAGGAGUGGAGCCUGCGGCUUAAUUUGACCCAACACGGGGAAACUUACCAGGUCCAGACAUAGUAAGGAUUGACAGAUUUGAGAGCUCUUUCUUGAUUCUAUGGGUGGUGGUGCAUGGCCGUUCUUAGUUGGUGGAGUGAUUUGUCUGGUUAAUUCCGUUAACGAACGAGACCUUAACCUGCUAAAUAUGUCACUGAUAGACUUCUACCAAAACAGGCGGGUGUUUAGGGUGAAGUUUCGAUGGAGCCCGACGCAUUCGUCUGUGGAUGACUAUCAGGAUGUACUUCUUAGAGGGACUAUCUGUAUCAAAGCAGAUGGAAGUUUGAGGCAAUAACAGGUCUGUGAUGCCCUUAGAUGUUCUGGGCCGCACGCGCGCUACACUGAUAAGUUCAACGAGUUUAACACCUUGCUCGAUAGGGCUGGGUAAUCUUUGAAAAACUUAUCGUGAUGGGGAUAGAUCAUUGUAAUUAUUGGUCUUCAACGAGGAAUUCCUAGUAAGCGUGAGUCAUCAGCUCGCGUUGAUUACGUCCCUGCCCUUUGUACACACCGCCCGUCGCUCCUACCGAUUGAAUGAUGAGGUGAAAUGUUGGGAGCUGGGGCUUUUUGACGGCGGGGCAACUCGUCGCCAGAGGUUCUGCAAACUUCAUUAAACCUUUUCAUUUAGA
rnacentral:rRNA from 1 species